rnacentral:rRNA from 1 species
GACGAACGCUGGCGGCGUGCCUAAUACAUGCAAGUAGAACGCAGUUGCGAACGGGUGAGUAACGCGUAGGUAACUGACUGGUAGCGGGGGAUAACUAUUGGAAACGAUAGCUAAUACCGCAUACUACCAGAUGGACCUGCGUUGUAUUAGCUAGUUGGUGGGGUAACGGCUCACCAAGGCAACGAUACAUAGCCGACCUGAGAGGGUGAUCGGCCACACUGGGACUGAGACACGGCCCAGACUCCUACGGGAGGCAGCAGUGAGGAAUAUUGGUCAAUGGGCGUAAGCCUGAACCAGCCAAGUAGCGUGCAGGACGACGGCCUAUGGGUUGUAACCUGCUUUUAUGCGGGGAUAGGUACCGCAUGAAUAAGGACCGGCUAAUUCCGUGCCAGCAGCCGCGGUAAUAC